AAUGUUCGCUACGCUCAUGGUGGACUCGCACCGUUUUACAACGCUCCUGAUUGGCUGUUGAUAAGCCAAUCGCAGGGCUGGAAAUUCUCAGUCUCUCUCGAGAGUUCACAUGGGUAGAAUCCAUGUUCCACCUCUCCUGAGGGUAUCCCUCAGGAAAGGUGGAAUAUGCAUCCUGUCUAUGUGAACUAUCUCGAGAGACUGAGAGUUUCCAGACCUGUGAUUGGUUUAUCAACAGCCAAUCAGGAGCGUCGUAAGGGACUGGCCUAGACAUCAAAUGCACGGUUGAUGUGAAUCUACUAUAGUCGUGCCCUUUCUUGCUUCAAAGUCUCUGUGGUUAUUCAGCAACGAGACCAACGGCUUUACGUGGCUUCCUAACCACGUCGAGAGUUAACUUCUAUCACCAGAAAUACACAUCUCUCACUCCUCAAUGGAAUGGCCGAGAAUCGAACCCGCGACCACCGAGGUAGGAUGCUAAUACCAUACCAACCACGCCGCUGAGGCGCUUCCACUCACAUUUAAAAAGUCUAGUCGCUUCAGAGGAAACUGAGCCAACGACAGAUUAAGCCCGCCUUUGAUGCCCAACAUAGUCUAUAAAUACACUUGUCCCAGAUGUAAUCGGGGUACUUAUGUUGGAUGCACGAAGAAGCUGCUACAAGUUCGUUUCUGCGCCCACAAAGGAUUCAGUUUCCGAACAGGAUGCUAACUAUCUAAUCCAGAGCUAUCCAGCGUCCGUAACCACUCUAUUACCUGUCGCUCCCGCUUGGACAUCGGUGAUUUUAAAAUUAUUGGAUCAGCCAAUAAAGACGAUGAGUUUUUAACAACGGAAUCCAUUUUAAUCAAAACCAAUGUACCGAAUUUAAAUGCCCAGUCCUCGUCAGUUCAGUUGUUCAUAGCCUAACCACUUGUUUGUUUACUUCAGCUCUUCUCUCGUCUUUUGUAUAGUUUUGUGUGUGUGUGUGUGUGUGUGUAUUUGUGUGUGGGUGUGUUUUUUCUUUUUCUUUUUCCCCGCUUUGUCCUUCAGUCACCUAUUUUUUACUCUGGUAGGUUGUCUCUCCAACCUAGUGUUGUUGUAAAGUAAUUUUUACAUUUUAAAUGUUUUAGUGUCCAAUUUUAAAUAUUAUACCGUGUUUUAUCAGUGACGAGUCUUAUAUGUUUGUAUUUUUAUCAAUUCCCCAGCCUUGAAAAUGCAUCGAAGCGAUGUGAAAC